rnacentral:lncRNA from 1 species
AAAAAUAUUCCUCCUUAAAAAAUGGAGCGUGUUUGAGGCGCCGGUGUUCUGGAGAGGACUGGUGGGCAGAGGGCCUGGGAGGAGCGUCAGACCCGGAUGCCUGAAGGCAGAGUUGGCAGUCCGAGGCACCAGCUACUGCUGAAGGUCAGCAAAAGGCAGCAGCUGAAGACGAGAGAGUUAUCUGCAAGUCUGAGUAAGGGACAGGCAGAGCCGCCAGAACUCUACUCCUAGUGCCAAGAAGCAGCCUCCUGAACAAGUCUGCUGGACAAGGAUGAUAAAGGGAGAGCAGCUCGUCUUCCACUUUGAGGAGCUUUUCACCAAGGGCUCAGCCAGAGGCAAAGCAAUCAACAAAGACAGGAUUUCAAUAAAGAGAACUCCAGAGAAGAUUUCCCCGUGCCUGUUGAAAAGCUCUAUCAAACACAAAUGCAUAGCUUCGUCCUCCAGAUCCCAAAACGUUUUACAAGCCCAGAAGUGUAGCUGUAUUUAUGGGUCAGGCUUCGCAGGCAUCCCUCAGAGGAUGAAGAUGGAGCAGAAACGCACCGGAACAGCCGUGGCUCCUUCACGCACUCCAGUCUCUCUCCCCAAGCUCGCUCACGUGGAGGGCGGGCGAAGGUGACCCCCUCCGGAGAGGCAUAGAGGAUGAAAUUGCAGCCCGGGUACAAGGAGAGUGAGAACACAGUGGGCAGGAGCAGCUCAGUGGCCCUGGAGGAUGUGCACGGGUGGUCAAUGUUCUGCCGCGUCCCAUCUGCCCAGGGCAGGACACGCAGAGCCAGGUUCUUUGGCCUCGGGCUCUGCAGUCAGACACAGGAGCGCAUAUUCGGACUGAUCCACUGACUAGCAACGCGACUCUGAGCAAGUGGCCUAACCUCGCUAAGCCUCAGUUUCCUCAGCUGCAAAACAGGGAUGAGAACCACACAACACGGGGUUAUUGCAAAGACAGAAGGAAGACGAGUGUGUGCGCAGAGGGGAGAGCUCUGAGGGUCUGCUAACUUCAUUUCCGCACCAACACAGCCUUGACGGGACAGUGCUCCCCAUUGGUCAGACCCAACAGAGAGCUGGAGGACAAGCCUGCUGCGCUCCACAGAGCUACUAGAAGCUUUAAAAUUACAUAUGUGGCUCACAUUGGAUUUCUGUUGGACAGAGCUGCUCCAGACUAAAUGUCUCCGUGAGUGUCGUUUCAUUUGCCGCAGCAUUCCCAGGGCUGGUGCAGAGCCCGGUCUGUCGUAGGUGCUCAGUAAAUACCUGUUGACUAAAGAAACACUUCCUACUAGGUCUUUUCCCCAGGGGAUCACAAGCUCCUGGAGGAGAAGGCAGGGACCCUCUGUCUGCCUCACAGGUAGUGUGGGUACGCAACUCUCAAGCAGGGCGAGACCUGCCUAUGGCAUGUGUUUGCUGAAUGAAGGUCGUCAGGGAGGUGCAUGCCUGACUGAGGCUCCAGAAACGACACCUGGCGGGGCCUGAUGUGUGAAAUGGGAAGAGAAGUCAGAAGACCAGCCUGGAGAGUAAGCGCCAUUGCCUCCCAUUAAGGAUAACUCGCAAGAGGGUCUUAGAAGAACACAGGGCUCCUACAGAAGAAGGGCAGCACCCUGACCUGUUUUGCUCAGCCAGGGAUGUUGCUAUGUGCCAAUUUUCUUGACAGGAAGAUGCUAGAGUCUGCCGGCUCAGCACGUUUUUACCUGACAGAGGGGGAAAAUACGUAAACUUUUCUGCUGCAGGAUGUUGUAAAAGGAAGAGAUACCUGCUUCUCCCCAGAGGCAGAGCUUGAGCCAGACGUUCUCGUGAGCGCUCUAGAAUUGUUAUUUCAUAAAUCCCUUCAAUUCCUCUGCGAGGCAGAAGUAUUACCAGCUCUGCUUUCCUGAUGAGGAAAGCGAAGCUCCAAGAGGUAAAGUAACUUAGCCAAAGUCUCAGAGGGAGAGUGGCAGAGUCAGCAGUGGAACAUAGUUUUCUUGACCCUUUCUCCAGUGUACUUUAACUAUACCACACUGUCUCUAUCCCUCAAUUGAAAGAGAGAGAGAGAGAGACGGAGAGAGGAAGAGAGGAAGAGACGAAGAGAGGAAAGCGGUGGGGAGGGAGACAGAGAGAGUUUCGAGGUCUGUGAUUCGUUGGUUUAUUCGUGUAGCUCUUUGAUACUAGAAUUUUUCAAAGCAGUAAAGGUGGGCUCUGUUUCAGAGCACAGCUAUGUGACAGGAGCCCAGUUCCGGAAUUCUAGAAUCAACAUCCAUAGUUACUUCUCUCUCUGUCCAAUCACUGGCUUUGUGGGUCCCCAAGCAUAACACUUCCCAGUUCUCCGUGCCCUUCUGUAAGAUGGAGAGCUGAGAUGUCGUGCAUGUUCAAGUUUCCUGGUACACAUACGUAAAACACCAUCUGUCGGCUGUCUGACCUGGCACGUAGACCACCUGUGUCGGUCAGUUAUUGCUGCAUUACAAAGUGCCCCCAAAGAGAUGCUCACUCACAUGCAUGAAGAUCUCUGAUGUGCUUCUGCCUCACAGAUCUCAGCUCAGAACCCUGACCAAAGAGGCCUUGGCCACCCAGGGCAUGUUCUUCUCAUGUCAAUGGCAGGAGCACAAGGGGGUAAAACCAAUCCCUCAAGCAUCCCUCAAGCCUCUGCUUGUAGUCCCAUCUACCAACAUCUCAUUGGCCAAAGCAAGUCACAUGGCUCAGCUCAAAGUCAAGGGGCAGGGAGACUGGAUGAGGCCAUGAAGAGCCACCGAUGGUUUCUGGGAGAAGUGUGACCUGUCCAGAGGACUGCAUGUGGGACUGGCCCGGGAAAGCUUCGAGGAGGUGAAGGAGGCCCAGCACUCUGGAGGCUCCUGGAGCUGAGGGUGGAGCUCAGCCUGCCUGCUGCCGUGUUUUGUGCUGAAAUCAUAGACACAGACUUGGUCUGGCCCUUCAAUGCCAGUCCCCCCAGAGAGAAAGCUUUUCAGCAGGAGCCGUGAACGUGCACAUGAUGAAGUCGGGCAGACCCUCUCUGUGGAAAUCAGCAUCUAUUUGAAGGUUUCAGUGUCGGAUUUAGCCUCACCCAGAGGUGACCUUCUACACAGGGCCAAAAGAAAAGUGAUUUCUUUGAUCGUCCAUCUGACCCCAAACUGACCUCUUGCGUUUUUCAAUUCAUUUUAAAUCAUGCUGUUCUGACCAAAGUGAUUCCAACUCUUAGCAAAGAAUAUUCACAUUUUAACCAACAUUUUGGGCCAAUUUCAUACCUGUUCACUUGAAUAGCAACAAUAAAAUCUGUAAGUUCUUUCCGAGUCCUUCUGACCUCAGCAGC